AUCAACGCUGGCGGCGUGCCUAACACAUGCAAGUCGAGCGAGAAAAGGGGAGCAAUCCUCUGAGUAAAGCGGCGCACGGGUGAGUGACACGUGGGUAAUCUGCCCUGAAGUGGGGAAUAACACCGGGAAACCGGUGCUAAUACCGCAUAUGAUCACGGUGUCUGUGGACACAGGGAUGAAAGGAGCAAUUCGCUUCAGGAGGAGCCCGCGGCUGAUUAGCUAGUUGGUGAGGUAAUGGCCCACCAAGGCUACGAUCAGUAUCCGGUCUGAGAGGACGGUCGGACACACUGGAACUGAGACACGGUCCAGACUCCUACGGGAGGCAGCAGUGGGGAAUUUUUCGCAAUGGGGGCAACCCUGACGAAGCAACGCCGCGUGGAUGAUGAAGUAUCUCGGUACGUAAAAUCCUUUCGACAGGGAAGAAACCGCAAGGUUGACGGUACCUGUAGAAGAAGCCCCGGCUAACUCCGUGCCAGCAGCCGCGGUAAUACGGGGGGGGCUAGCGUUGUUCGGAAUUACUGGGCGUAAAGGGCGCGUAGGCGGUCUGCUAAGUUGGAUGUGAAAACUCUGGGCUUAACCCAGAGCCUGCAUUCAAUACUGACAGGCUAGAGUUCUGGAGGGGAUAGCGGAAUUCCUGGUGUAGCGGUGAAAUGCGUAGAUAUCAGGAGGAACACCGGUGGCGAAGGCGGCUAUCUGGACAGAGUCUGGCGCUGAGGCGCGAAAGCUAGGGGAGCAAACAGGAUUAGAUACCCUGGUAGUCCUAGCCCUAAACGAUGGAUACUUGGUGUAACUGGGAUUGAAUCCAGUUGUGCCGCAGCUAACGCAUUAAGUAUCCCGCCUGGGGAGUACGGCUCGCAAGGUUAAACUCAAAGGAAUUGACGGGGGCUCGCACAAGCGGUGGAGCAUGUGGUUCAAUUCGACUGCAACGCGAAGAACCUUACCCUGGGCUUCGAAGUGCUAGUGUAGAACCGGGGAAACGGUACGACUCCCGCAAGGGACCUUCAGUCGAGGUGUUGCAUGGCUGUCGUCAGCUCGUGUCGUGAGAUGUUGGGUUAAGUCCCGUAACGAGCGAAACCCUGCCUUAGUUGCAACUCAGGCUAUGAUGGGCACUCUAAGUCGGACUGCCGUGUCGAAACUGGAGGAAGGUGGGGAUGACGUCAAGUCCUCAUGGCCCUUAUGUCCAGGGGCUACACACGUACUACAAUGGAUCGGUAUAAAUGAGUUCGCAAACCCGCGAGGGGAGCCAAUCUCAAAAAGCCAUCCUCAGUUCGGAUCUGCAGUCUGCAAUUCGCCUGCCGUGAAGCCUGGAAUCGCUAGUAAUCGCUGAUCAGCAAGCCGCGGUGAAUAUGUUCCCGAGCCUUGUACACACCGCCCGUCAAGCCACCCAAGCACGGGGUACCUAAAGUCCGUUGCCCAACCGCAAGGAGGACGCGGCCCAAGGUAAAACGUGUGAGGAGGGCU
rnacentral:rRNA from 1 species